CGAGUGAAGCGGCAAAAGCUCAAAUUUGAAAUCUGGCCUCUUUGGGGUCCGAGUUGUAAUUUGGAGAGGAUGCUCUGGGAGUGGUCGCGGUCUAAGUCCCCUGGAACGGGGCGUCGCAGAGGGUGAGAAUCCCGUCUUCGGCCGGCCGACUUCGCCCGUGUAGAGCUCCUUCGACGAGUCGAGUUGUUUGGGAAUGCAGCUCUAAAUGGGUGGUAAAUUUCAUCUAAAGCUAAAUACUGGUCGGAGACCGAUAGCGCACAAGUAGAGUGAUCGAAAGAUGAAAAGCACUUUGAAAAGAGAGUUAAAAAGCAUGUGAAAUUGUUGAAAGGGAAGCACAUGCGACCAGAGUCGGCCGUGGGGGUUCGGCGGGGGUUCUCCCUCGUUUACUCCCCUGCGGUCGGGCCAGCAUCAGUUCUGGCGGCCGGUUAAAGGCUUCGGGAAUGUGUCGUCCUCCGGGACGUCUUAUAGCCCGAGGUGCAAUGCGGCCAGCCGGGACUGAGGAACGCGCUUCGGCACGGAUGCUGGCUUAAUGGUCGUUUGUGGCCCGUCUUGAAACACGGACCAAGGAGUCUAACAUCCACGCGAGUGUUAGGGUGUCAAACCCUUCCGCGCAGUGAAAGCGAACGGAGGUGAGAGCCCCUCGAGGGUGCAUCAUCGACCGAUCCUGAAGUCUUCGGAUGGAUUUGAGUAGGAGCGUGGCUGUUGGGACCCGAAAGAUGGUGAACUAUGCCUGAAUAGGGUGAAGCCAGAGGAAACUCUGGUGGAGGCUCGCAGCGGUUCUGACGUGCAAAUCGAUCGUCAAAUUUGGGUAUAGGGGCGAAAGACUAAUCGAACCAUCUGGUAGCUGGUUCCUGCCGAAGUUUCCCUCAGGAUAGCAGUAACGUUUUCAGUUUUAUGAGGUAAAGCGAAUGAUUAGAGGCCUUGGGGUUGAAACAACCUUAACCUAUUCUCAAACUUUAAAUAUGUAAGAAGUCCUUGUUGCUUAAUUGAACGUGGACAAUUGAAUGUAUCGUUACUAGUGGGCCAUUUUUGGUAAGCAGAACUGGCGAUGCGGGAUGAACCGAACGCGAGGUUAAGGUGCCGGAAUGCACGCUCAUCAGACACCACAAAAGGUGUUAGUUCAUCUAGACAGCCCGACGGUGGCCAUGGAAGUCGGAAUCCGCUAAGGAGUGUGUAACAACUCACGGGCCGAAUGAACUAGCCCUGAAAAUGGAUGGCGCUUAAGCGUGCUACCAAUACCUCGCCGUCAGGGUAGAAACGAUGCCCUGACGAGUAGGCAGGCGUGG
rnacentral:rRNA from 1 species